CACACCCCCUCCAGGCACUCAAGGGGAGAGGGAAGGGAAGCAGCCAGACCCUCCUGGACACACAGCUUGACCCUGGUAAUUCUAAUGUAGCACUUCAUCCAGACAGCAACUUCAACAAGCAGAAUGUGUUCUGUCACUCUUUGGACAAUUUCAUCAAUACUCAAUCCUGACAAGUUUCCUGGCCCGUGCUCUCACACUCUGGCAGCUGGGUGACUCCAGGCUGACAGGAGAGCGAUCCCGACAAUGGAGGAGAGGAAG